rnacentral:lncRNA from 1 species
CCGAAGAGUGGACGGCCUUCGAAAAGAGCAGAGUGCGCCAGGCAGCCUCAGGGGUCCAGAUGGAGACACCAUGCCCAGUCUCUCGGGACACACCUGGGGGCGGGGGGAGCAUCCACCGUUUUGAGCCUUUGUGUCCUUGGAGAACUGGUCUGAUUGGUCUGACGUGGGCCACGUGCCCCAUGCCCUCGACCAACCUUGAGCAGGACUCCAUGUUUGACAGACCCUCAUAGGUAUUCAUUCAUUCAUUCCUCACCAGCUGUGAGCAGACACCACUACUCUCCCCCAUUUCACAGUUGGGGAGACUGAGGCAUGGGGAGGUUAAGCAACUUGCUUGACAGCCAGUGAGUGGCCGUCAGGAAAUGAGACAGCCAGGCUGGCCCCAGGCCCUCCCCUAAGCCACACUGCCCCUCGGAUUAUAUAAUAAGUAAAUGUGUGUUGACCAAGUGAGCGAAUGUCUUAGUAAAUGCACUCAGAUGAGCUGGCUUCUCCCGACAGCCAGCCUGCUCUCUGCUGCGGCCUGCCUCCCUCCCGGGCCAGGUGUGGGCGAGUGUUUGGCUCUUCCUGAUGGACAGGCUCUGGCUACAGCAACAUUGGCUGGGAUUGUGCUGAAUCUGCAGAUCACUUUGGAGAGAAUUGAUACCUUGAAAACAGUGGGUUUUCCCGUUCAUGAACACAGUACAGCUCUCCAUCUAUGGUUUCUUCCACCACACCAGGGAGGCAGGAAGGAAAGCGAGGCUGAUGAAUGAGAACACGGGGCUGGACGAGGACCAGAGUCUGGACACCAGCCCCAGCCCCGGAGCAGCAGCCCCUGCUGACCCUGCUCCAGGUGGAGGCGAUGGGAAGAGAGGAAGCACCCGGGCCACAAGUCUUACGCUGGGCGCGGGAUAAAGCCGAGGUCCUCAUCCACAGGGCCGUGGCUGGUCAGGGAAAUGGACGUGUCCAUCAAAACCUAUAAAACGAUGAAGCAGGACAAAGAAGUGGUGCUGGCUCCAGGAGCUGCAGGUGGAUGUGGCCGUCUGGGAUGUCACUAACCCUGACCGCUCCAUGUGUGCCAGUGUCCACGCUCAUCCACACAUCGUGCCACUCCAGCCUCACAGCAACCAGAGAGCAGGAGUCGUUUCUGUUCCACAGAUGAGCAAGCAGAGGCCCAGGUGGGACAAGGACUUUGCCCCAAGACCACAGGGGUUGGACUCAGCUCUACCAUUCCCUGGGAGACCCCUCCGCACCCUGCCUGGGCAGACUUCCUCUGGGACUGAUUCUAAAACUGGCCCUGGGCCCUGUCCAUCCAGGGAGCUGGCAGCCUCCUCUUCCCACACAGCUUUUCCAGCCUCUUGGUUACAAUCCCGUUAUUUGCCACCACAUGUCCCUCUUCUUUUCCUUUCGAAGAUGACUCAUAAGAUGAAACGAG